rnacentral:lncRNA from 12 species
AUGUUCACCCAUCUUCAUUUCUCUGAUUCAGGAGCAGACUGUUGCCAUGUUACAAGGACAUCGGGAUCGCAAACAUUAGGCAACAAGGAGCUUCUGCUUUUUUGCAGAAGCAGAAUGGACUUUGUCCACACAUGCCACAAUCUACAGAUGCUGUUGCCCCUGCCUUGGCAUGAGAGCCAGCUGGGAUGUUCCCUGGUCCUCCGUGCUCUCAGGGGUCAGAUAUGCAGAUGCUUCCGCUCACUCCACAGCUGUGGCUCUAGCUUGAAGACAGCUGCGACAGGCACAAGCAACUGACUCACACUGUGCUGUCAGCGGCAGGUUUCAGGAUUGACAUCGCCUCCCACAUG